rnacentral:tRNA from 1 species
GGUCCUAUAGUCUAGUGGUUAUGACGCCGCCCUCUCACGGCGGUAACUGGGGUUCGAAUCCCCAUAGGACUG